CCUACGGGUGGCAGCAGUGGGGAAUAUUGCACAAUGGGCGCAAGCCUGAUGCAGCCAUGCCGCGUGUGUGAAGAAGGCCUUCGGGUUGUAAAGCACUUUCAGCGGAGAGGAAGGCGGUGAGGUUAAUAACCUCAUCGAUUGACGUUACCCGCAGAAGAAGCACCGGCUAACUCCGUGCCAGCAGCCGCGGUAAUACGGAGGGUGCAAGCGUUAAUCGGAAUUACUGGGCGUAAAGCGCACGCAGGCGGUCUGUCAAGUCGGAUGUGAAAUCCCCGGGCUCAACCUGGGAACUGCAUUCGAAACUGGCAGGCUAGAGUCUUGUAGAGGGGGGUAGAAUUCCAGGUGUAGCGGUGAAAUGCGUAGAGAUCUGGAGGAAUACCGGUGGCGAAGGCGGCCCCCUGGACAAAGACUGACGCUCAGGUGCGAAAGCGUGGGGAGCAAACAGGAUUAGAUACCCGAGUAGUC
rnacentral:rRNA from 1 species